UACGUAGGAUGCGAGCGUUAUCCGGAUUUAUUGGGUUUAAAGGGUGCGCAGGCGGCACGGCAAGCCGGCGGUCAAAUCGCGGGGCUCAACCCCGCCCAGCCGUCGGAACUGCCGGGCUAGAGUGGGCGAGAAGUGUGCGGAAUGCGUGGUGUAGCGGUGAAAUGCAUAGAUAUCACGCAGAACUCCGAUUGCGAAGGCAGCGCACCGGCGCCCUACUGACGCUCAGGCACGAAAGCGUGGGUAUCGAACAGG
rnacentral:rRNA from 1 species